rnacentral:rRNA from 1 species
AUUGAACGCUGGCGGCAGGCUUAACACAUGCAAGUCGAGCGGGGUGAUGGUGCUUGCACUAUCACUUAGCGGCGGACGGGUGAGUAAUGCUUAGGAAUCUGCCUAUUAGUGGGGGACAACAUCUCGAAAGGGAUGCUAAUACCGCAUACGUCCUACGGGAGAAAGCAGGGGAUCACUUGUCACCUUGCGCUAAUAGAUGAGCCUAAGUCGGAUUAGCUAGUUGGUGGGGUAAAGGCCUACCAAGGCGACGAUCUGUAGCGGGUCUGCGAGGAUUAUCGGCCGCGCGGGGAAUGAGGGACGGCGCAGACUCCUACGGGAGGGAGCAGUGGGGAAUAUUGGACACUGGGGGGAACCCUGAUACAGCCAGGCCGCGUGUGUGAAGAAAGCCUUAUGGUUGUAAAGCACUUUAAGCUAGGAGGAGGCUCUUUUGGUUAAUACCCAAGAUGAGUGGACGUUACUCGCAGAAUAAGCACCGGCUAACUCUGUGCCAGCCGCCGCCGUAA